rnacentral:rRNA from 1 species
GAGCAGCAUCUCGCGUGAGGGAUGACGGCCUAUGGGUUGUAAACCUCUUUUUUCAGGGAGGAAUAAAUGACGUGUACCUGAAGAAUAAGCAUCGGCUAACUCCGUGCCAGCAGCCGCGGUAAGACGGAGGAUGCAAGUGUUAUCCGGAAUCACUGGGCGUAAAGCGUCUGUAGGUGGUUUGAUAAGUCAACUGUUAAAUCUUGAAGCUCAACUUCAAAAUCGCAGUCGAAACUAUCAGACUAGAGUAUAGUAGGGGUAAAGGGAAUUUCCAGUGGAGCGGUGAAAUGCGUAGAUAUUGGAAAGAACACCGAUGGCGAAGGCACUUUACUGGGCUAUUACUGACACUCAGAGACGAAAGCUAGGGUAGCAAAUGGGAUUAGAUACCCCAGUAGUCCUAGCCGUAAACCAUGGAUACUAGAUGUUGAACAGAUCGACCUGUGCAGUAUUAAAGCUAACGCGUUAAGUAUCCCGCCUGGGAAGUAUGCUCGCAAGAGUGAAACUCAAAUGAAUUGACGGG